UGCCUAAAGAGAUCCACGGAAACUUUAUUUCCUGGGAGCGACCUGAGAGAAAACAGAGGCACCAGGUUCCAUCAGGGGACGACACCGUGCUCUGGGACCCUGUUUUUCUUGGCCAUAUUAAAGUCAUUUGGAAACAAAUCAACUCUGAAAUGGGAAGGAGGGGGGAAAAACAGUCUCCAAGAAAAAAAUAAUUAUAUUGACAGCUUCUGAAACUAACAGACUGAAUAGCAAAGCCAAAAGAAAAGUAUCCUCAAAGUAACCUUGGAAAUAAAAGGAUCGGGAAGGAGCAGAGGGAGAGGGGGAACGUCCGCUGAGGAGUGGCGAGAGGCCCCGGCCGAGUCGGGUCGCGGGCGGGCGGGCGAACUGGGAGCAGAGCGGGGGCCCAGCCAGCGAGGCCGCCGAGCCAGGCCCGGCCGCGUACCCAGGCUUUGACGGCUGCCAUUCAGGGUGGACGAUGCCUAAAGAUUCCACCGCUAAUAUUUUUUUUAUUAAUAUUUUUUAUUUUUUAUUUCUGGACUGACUCAGAUAAAGGAAUUUAGAAAGACUGAGCACCAGCCGCUGCACUUCUCUGGACUUCUCUCCUCAAUCCGUUGCCAACUUUGAUUGAAUGGGUGCUGUGGAUGUGAUUAUAUAAUACUGCCAUUUCCAAGCAGUGUUUUUGGUAGGUUUUAAUAAACAGACUUUUCAAAAGACGGCAAUAUAGAAUUGUUAGAUCCGUUGUUGAUCUAAAAAUAUUUGCUUUAUAUUUUCAUUAAAUGACUUCUUUUAAUAUUUUAUUCAGAAUACUUAUGAACUGCUGCAAAACGGUAAUUUAUUUUUCCCCAGAUCUUGUAUUACGUGUUUUUUUCAGACGAGCACAAAUCAAAAUGAAAUGAAAAUAUGGACAGUUGUUAGGUAAUAAGGGUAUCUUUUGAUGUGAUCAUUUGAUUGUAAUUUAAUUUGAGUAGUGAUUCCGUAAGAGCUGAUCGAGAAAAUAAAUUUGUUAGAAUGAAA
rnacentral:lncRNA from 1 species